rnacentral:misc_RNA from 1 species
AAAAAAAAAAAAAAAAAACGGAUGUCGUUGACAAAGGAAAUUAAUACUUUUGGGAUUUCUAGUACCUCGCAUCAUUUUGUUUAAAGAAUGUGGAAAAUCAUUAAUACUUAUCGAUGUUGUGAUUCAUCGGCCAAAGCUUCGAAGACGCUUAUAUCUGAGGUCAUAAUAUUGAGAGUAUGGCGACUUUUGAGCCUGUGAUGGGUCCUCGUGAGGUCAGAAUGCAUGUACCAGUGGUCUUAAGAUCAGAACUCCCAUGAUAAAGAACCAGUCUAUAACAGUUGAUCAAGUCCCAACGCCGUCGCUGGUUAAUGGGUUUAGUCACAGCACCCUUGUGGCACUGAGGAACGAUGGAAUGGGUGUAAGGCUCAUUGGGAAGAUGGCUUAGGGCUCAAGGGCACAGAAGCAAGAGAUACCAAUAGCAUGUGCCUCCACAACAACCCGUGCAGAAAGAAGCCAUUGACCAGCUAAGAGGGGAAAAAACUCAUUGCCAAAAAGGGAAAAGAAGGCGACGAAGAAAAAAAGGCGAAAAAAAAAGAAAGAGAAUAGCUCACAUUUGUGUUAUGGAUCCAUGAUGCUACUGACUGCCCACAACCUUGUGUAGUGAUGGAGAAGAUGAUAAAGAAGCACUAGUAGCCAAAAUAAAAAUUGCGUACACGGAGUUCACAUGCCACGAGAUGCUUCUUCUUGUUCUCCGUCUUCGCGAAAUAAUCUUUCAAAGCAAGAAAACAAGCAGUUGCAAAGAAAAGACUGAGAAAACCGUACGUUGAUGGUGACCAAGAACAAGAAGGGCGAAAGAACGUAGCUUCAGGUUUGAGCGAGGCGCCUUUACCUGAUAACUUG